GGCUCAGCUCCAACCGUCUCGAGCCGCGCGGCGCCCCCAAAUCACGCUUCCUUGUUGACCUCAGAAAGACAGAAACCCCCCUCCACAUCGCCGCUUGCUUCGCUCACCGCGAGACGCGCCGCCGCUGGAGACGAUCCCGUUCGCGGCGAUCUGCCCGAACUGCCGCCGCUCGUUUAUUGGUUUCGGACUUCUCCAACCUAUAUAUGGCGUCCCGAUUCCACAUCGUCUCUCCUUCCAUGACGCUGGAGAUUAACCUUGAAUUUUCCCACUACCUCCGUUUGAAUUGGCCACCUGCAGAUGAGCCUGCAACCACAAAUUUUGACGGUUGAUAAUCCCCAAUUUUGUUGAUCUGUUGGGCAAAUGAGUUUGUGAUCCACAGCGGCGGCCAAGAGGUACCUGCCAAUUGUUUUGGCUGCUCCUCGUCCAGGCCCGCGGAGACAAGGAUUCUGAGGAAAAGGUACCUCAGUUUAGGUCAGAGCUCCUCCUCUGCAUGCUUUACAAGCCACUGAGCAUGAUCAAGAAGCUUUCUGCUUGAUAAUGCCCACAGGCCUUGAUAUGUAUAGCUGAUGAAAAUAUGUGUCAAAAAUAUAUAUAGCCGAUUCUGGCUUGGUAUUUAUUUUCUUGUACUUGUUUUUGUUUACUCGAUGCACAAAUGCAUCAGUGUGUUAUGUGCUAUAAAGCUCGAUGCACAAAUCUGGUAAACCAUUUACAAAUUAAA